rnacentral:rRNA from 1 species
AUUGAACGCUGGCGGCAUGCCUUACACAUGCAUAUCGAACGGUAACGGGCCUUCGGGUGCCGACGAGUGGCGAACGGGUGAGUAAUACAUCGGAACGUGCCCGAUCGUGGGGGAUAACGAGGCGAAAGCUUUGCUAAUACCGCAUACGAUCUACGGAUGAAAGCAGGGGACCGCAAGGCCUUGCGCGGACGGAGCGGCCGAUGGCAGAUUAGGUAGUUGGUGGGAUAAAAGCUUACCAAGCCGACGAUCUGUAGCUGGUCUGAGAGGAUGAUCAGCCACACUGGGACUGAGACACGGCCCAGACUCCUACGGGAGGCAGCAGUGGGGAAUUUUGGACAAUGGGCGCAAGCCUGAUCCAGCCAUGCCGCGUGCAGGAUGAAGGCCUUCGGGUUGUAAACUGAUUUUGUACGGAACGAAAAGCCUUCUUUUAAUACAGGAGGGUCAUGACGGUACCGUAAGAAUAAGCACCGGCUAACUACGUG